UUUUCUAUGUUCACUUGUCCAUUUAUUAUCAAUUUUAGGGUCUAAAUGAUUGUUGUGGUUAAGGUGGACAAAUUCGUUUGUGUAUUUGACCACGUUUUAUUUACCAUUUCACAAAUUACUUCUGUGUGGAUUUAAAAAAGAAAACUGAUGCGGAUCAACCACAUACCGUUUUUACAUAUAAAUAGAGUUGGUUGCGACGGUUUGUUGUCUACUUUAAAAAUAGUUCGGAUUAAACCAUUGACGGAUUUAUCCAUCUUAACUGCCGUAACCAUUCAAACUUGUGAGAUGAGAGAAGUAACAAUCAAAAAUACCAAUUGAUUGCUCGUAUCUUACUAGAAU
rnacentral:sRNA from 1 species